CUACCCUUUAGCCCUUACAAAUAUACAUGUAUGUAUUUAUUUUUAUUGUCAUAGAGAAGUAACACGUGAGACUAGACUGUCAUUGCGGAUAUAUCGAAUUUUUUCGAGGCAAAGUCGAGGUCACGUGAUUCUUUCCCUCGUUUUUUUUAUCCUUCCUGAAAUGUGUCAGUAUACUCCAUAAAUCGAUGCUUUUCUGUUAUAAUCGAAGCAGAUGAAGAGGUAUAAGAAAUUGAAACAGACAAAAUCGUUUUCAUCAAUAUUUCUCUUUAUUGCAGAAUAACUUUGAGGACAGAAAUAAAAUAUUCUUGAGAGAACGAUGGUCGGUCAUUUGAGAAUACCUCACUGUUUAGUGAAGAAGCCUUUUACAGUCAGUAUAGGAAAGUUGGAUUUUUAUUCUUUGAAGACGGUCAAGAAGGAAUAUUCGGGUAUCCGGAACGUUUUUCUCUUUUAUGUGGGUUACCCAGCAAGUCACUAAAAGCUCUCGUAAAUAUGGCAUGCAUCGAUUUAAAUAUUAAACGUAGGCUCGUGAGCGCCAUGUAAAACGAGCCUGACCAGUUACGCAACUUAGCUACUGUUUCGGCCUGAUUAAAAUCGGAUUCUCCACUUGGAGUCGCGACGAGUUACGAACAGGUGGUUAGCGUCAUCGGUGGUCGACGUAAAUGGGGCUCAAAGGCCGCGCACAUGGUACACGGGAAUAACUUUAUUCGAUAACAUGGCCGAAAAGGGGCAGAUAGAAAAUGGGCUCGAUUUCAUUAUUGUUUUAUAGCGUUUUGGUCACAGAGGGUGCAAUCGAUCAGUCGCAAUCGAUGCCGCAAGGUCAUUGGCUGCAAGAUGACAUCUUUUGACUAAAUACAACUUUAAUAUCUUUCUUCAAUUUUUAUC